rnacentral:rRNA from 1 species
GACGUAGGUGGCGAACUUUAUCCGGAAUUAUUGGGCGUAAAGAGCUCGUAGGCGGUUUGUCGCGUCUGCUGUGAAGACUCGGGGCUUAACUCCGGGCCUGCAGUGGGUACGGGCAGACUAGAGUGCGGUAGGGGAGACUGGAAUUCCUGGUGUAGCGGUGAAAUGCGCAGAUAUCAGGAGGAACACCGGUGGCGAAGGCGGGUCUCUGGGCCGUAACUGACGCUGAGGAGCGAAAGCGUGGGGAGUGAACAGG